rnacentral:rRNA from 1 species
UACGUAGGGGGCGAGCGUUGUCCGGAAUUACUGGGCGUAAAGAGCUCGUAGGUGGUUUGUCGCGUUGUUCGUGAAAACUCACAGCUUAACUGUGGGCGUGCGGGCGAUACGGGCAGACUGGAGUACUGCAGGGGAGACUGGAAUUCCUGGUGUAGCGGUGGAAUGCGCAGAUAUCAGGAGGAACACCGGUGGCGAAGGCGGGUCUCUGGGCAGUAACUGACGCUGAGGAGCGAAAGCGUGGGGAGCGAACAGG